rnacentral:rRNA from 1 species
AUUGAACGCUGGCGGCAUGCUUUACACAUGCAAGUCGAACGGCAGCGCGGGCUUCGGCCUGGCGGCGAGUGGCGAACGGGUGAGUAAUGCAUCGGAACGUGCCUAGUAGUGGGGGAUAGCCCGGCGAAAGCCGGAUUAAUACCGCAUACGACCUGAGGGUGAAAGCGGGGGACCGAAAGGCCUCGCGCUAUUGGAGCGGCCGAUGUCGGAUUAGCUAGUUGGUGGGGUAAAGGCUUACCAAGGCGACGAUCCGUAGCUGGUCUGAGAGGACGACCAGUCACACUGGGACUGAGACACGGCCCAGACUCCUACGGGAGGCAGCAGUGGGGAAUUUUGGACAAUGGGGGCAACCCUGAUCCAGCCAUGCCGCGUGCGGGAAGAAGGCCUUCGGGUUGUAAACCGCUUUUGUUCGGGAAGAAAUCCUCUGGGCUAAUACCCCGGGGGGAUGACGGUACCGGAAGAAUAAGCACCGGCUAACUACGUG